AGGGAAUCUUCCGCAAUGGGCGAAAGCCUGACGGAGCAACGCCGCGUGAGUGAGGAAGGUCUUCGGAUCGUAAAGCUCUGUUGCCAGGGAAGAAGUCUUGGGAGAGUAACUGCUCCCGAGGUGACGGUACCUGAGAAGAAAGCCCCGGCUAACUACGUGCCAGCAGCCGCGGUAAUACGUAGGGGGCGAGCGUUGUCCGGAAUUAUUGGGCGUAAAGCGCGCGCAGGCGGUUUUGUAAGUCCGAUUGUAUAAACCCGGGGCUCAACCCCGGGGUGCAAGGGAAACUGCAAGACUUGAGUGCAGGAGAGGGAAGCGGAAUUCCAUGUGUAGCGGUGAAAUGCGUAGAGAUAUGGAGGAACACCAGUGGCGAAGGCGGCUUCCUGGCCUGUAACUGACGCUGAGGCGCGAAAGCGUGGGGAGCAAAC
rnacentral:rRNA from 1 species